rnacentral:rRNA from 1 species
AGCAGCCGCGGUAAUUCCAGCUCCAAUAGCGUAUAUUAAAGUUGUUGCAGUUAAAAAGCUCGUAGUUGAAUUUCGGGAUUGGCGCAUCGGUCGUGCCUCACGGGGUGUGAACUGGUGCAGUCAAUUUCUCACCUUCUGGAGAACCGCGAUGUCCUUAAUUGGAUGCCGCGGGGAACCAGGACCUUUACUUUGAAAAAAUUAGAGUGUUUAAAGCAGGCAUUUUUGCUUGAAUACAUUAGCAUGGAAUAAUAAAAUAGGACGGCAUGGUUCUAUUUUGUUGGUUUCUAGGACCGCCGUAAUGAUUAAUAGGGAUAGUUGGGGGCAUUAGUAUUCAAUUGUCAGAGGUGAAAUUCUUGGAUUUAUUGAAGACUAACUACUGCGAAAGCAUUUGCCAAGGAUGUUUUCAUUAAUCAAGAACGAAAGUUAGGGG